GAUGAAGAACGUAGCGAAAUGCGAUAAGUAAUGUGAAUUGCAGAAUUCAGUGAAUCAUCGAAUCUUUGAACGCACAUUGCGCCCGCGAGUAUUCUGGCGGGCAUGCCUGUUCGAGCGUCAUUUCAACCAUCAAGCCCCAGGCUUGUGUUGGAGCCCUGCGGCUGCCGCAGCCUCCCAAAACCAGUGGCGGGCUCGCUAUCACACCGAGUGCAGUAGUUUACUCUUCGCUCAGGGCGUGUGGCGGGUGCUAGCCGUGAAACCCCCAACUUCUCAAGGUUGACCUCGGAUCAGGUAGGAAUACCCGCUGAACUUAAGCAUAUCAAUAAGCGGAGGA
rnacentral:misc_RNA from 1 species